ACAGGAAGUAGCUCAGGCUCACUAGCUUCAGGAAGUAACACAGGCUCAUUAUUGAGGAUGUAACUCGAGAUCACUAGCUUCAGGAAGUAGCUCGGGCUCAUUAGCUUCAGGAGGGAUAGAUGAUAACUGAAUCUGAAGACAAGGGAGUCACAUACAUGGAUGCAACACUUGUGUUCUCUUAUUUGUUAUAGGAUGCAAGGACUUCAUGUUUAAUCAAUCAAAAGAAGGCUUUUUUAAUGUGUGGUGGGAAAUAUGCUAUGUAUAUAAUUACUGUGCUACAAGAUAUGCCUGCAGGAUGUCAAGAACUCGUAAAUCUGAUGGAUGUAACUAGGUUGUUCCAGUCCCAAUCUGAGAGGCAACCUGAAGAUUGUGGAGAGGUUCAAAUCAUGGAUGUGUGACUGAAACGGUAGGAUGGAUCGACGGAUGGAUUUUGUUUCAGUAGUUGUGUUUCUGUUUGGGACGAGAAGGAUGCGCACCUGGACAUUCAACUCUUGGGUGAUCUCCUUUUGAUGUUGCUUUU